AGAUGUGUAGUUAAAUGGUAAACCACUUGCCUUGAAUGCAAGAAGCCUAGGAUUCAAAUCCUAGCACCACCA
rnacentral:tRNA from 1 species